CGCGGGGGACCCCACGGGGGCACGGGGCGGCGGCGGGGGCCCGCGGCGGCGCUCGGGCGGGCGGACUACUUGACGUGUCGGUGCGGCGAAUUUAUUUCACUUUGCCUAAGGAACGGGGUGUGCUGCGGCACCCAUUGCCUAGGGAAAAAACCCGGAUGUAAAGCAUGAAGUCCAGCUUUUGCAGAUGAAGAGCAGCCGUGGUGAGAUGAUUUGCCCAAAGUCAAAAGGGGCUCUGAGAUCACUGGAUGUGAAGAUAUUUUCUUCUGUGAGCUGCAGAAUUUAAAUUCAGCUUCUCAAGAGAAAGCAUUAAGAAAAAAAAACCCUCUGAUUUAUUAAAAGUUUUAAAAAAGUGAACUUUAUUUUACAUGUUGAAAAGAAUUCACAGCAGAAACUGAAAAGAGUUUGAGAGUAAAAAUGAAAGUCCCAAUUAAUGAUUCAAGAAGCCUGGAUGAAUAUGUGAAACUCAACCUACAAUGCCAUCAAGAUAAAUAACAGAGCCAAGUUGAGUACUAACUUCAGCACUCAGAUAACCAGUGUCCUUAAGUGUAGGUAUUUCAAGCUGUACCAGCGGGCCACUGGAACAGUAAUCCCAAAAUGCAAGGUGUCAACAUUUUUUCUCACAGGAAGGCAGUCUUAGUUUUCUUUUUGGGGGAAAAACAUUUUUUAAGAAACAUAAGGGGAGGUCAUGUUCAAUUGGGCAAGAAUGUAUAAACCCUAUACAGCAAAUCAGCAAAUUUUCUGUGAAAGCCAAGAUUGUAAAUAUCUUAGGUUAUUUUGAUACCUAAGUCAACAAGAGCAUCUCAAAUCCUCUGUUCCUGUACCAAAAUCCACCACAGACUACAUGUAAAUCAAUGUGUCUUAGUGAGUGUUCUAGUAAAGUUUCAUUUGUGCACAUUGACAUUUUACUUGCAUGUGCUUUUCAUAUUAUGAAAUGUGUUUUACCUUUUUCCCACUUGAAAAAAAAAUGCAAAAAAAAGUUUUUGUUUUGUUUUUUUUACUUUAGCUUUUUUGGGGGCAUUACAGAGCCAAGCAUUGGGAGGAUGGGGUGUAGUAUCUCUGUCCUUUGCUGGUCCCUGUUCACAAGGAUUCAGACUGAGUAGUCAUUGGACUUCCAACAGAGAGUGUUUGUUUGUACAGCAAUUAAAAAUCAGAAUUGUAAAAUAA